UCGAGUGCAGGCGCCGUCCGGCGCCGACUCCCACCCGUGUGGACCCGUACCUGUUGCUUUGGCGGGCCGGCGGCCCGGCCGCCCUCCGGCUUCGGCGGGGGCGCGCCCGCCAGAGACCCGCACAACCCGCUCAACGGUGGCGUCUGAGUGCAGCUGAAGAAUGA
rnacentral:misc_RNA from 1 species